AUGGGCCGUGGGACCCUCUGCUGGAUGGUCAUCUGCUUCCUGGGGACAAGCUCCACGGACACUGGAGUUUUCCAGAUGCCAAGGUCCCUGGUCACUGGCGUGGGGAACAGGAAGAUACUGAAGUGUGAACAGCGUCUGGGACACGAAGUCAUGUACUGGUAUAAACAGGCCCCCGGGAAGGCUCCGGAGCUCAUGUUUUAUUUCAACAACCAGGAGCUUAUUGGGAAUGAGUCUAUCCCAAGCCGCUUCUCCCCGAAGUGCCCGGACAGCUCUCACCUGGAGCUCCACGUGGACGCCCUGCAGCCCGGGGACUCGGCUGUGUACCUGUGUGCCAGCAGCAAAGACACAGCCCUGCAGGGCCACCCGAGCCCUGAGCAGAAACCACAGAGCAGGAAGCUGGGGACUGGCUCCCCUGGGGCCUAG